AACGCGAAGAACCUUACCAGCCUUUGACAUCCCGGUCGCGGGCACCAGAGAUGGAGCCCUUCAGUUCGGCUGGACCGGAGACAGGUGCUGCAUGGCUGUCGUCAGCUCGUGUCGUGAGAUGUUGGGUUAAGUCCCGCAACGAGCGCAACCCUCGCCCUUAGUUGCCAUCAUUUAGUUGGGCACUCUAAGGGGACUGCCGGUGAUAAGCCGCGAGGAAGGUGGGGAUGACGUCAAGUCCUCAUGGCCCUUACAGGCUGGGCUACACACGUGCUACAAUGGCGGUGACAAUGGGAUGCAAUGGGGAGACCCUGCGCAAAUCUCAAAAAGCCGUCUCAGUUCGGAUUGUGCUCUGCAACUCGAGCACAUGAAGUUGGAAUCGCUAGUAAUCGCAGAUCAGCACGCUGCGGUGAAUACGUUCCCGGGCCUUGUA
rnacentral:rRNA from 1 species